GCAGAAGUAGUUCAGCGGUAGAAUACAACCUUGCCAAGGUUGGGGUCGCGGGUUCGACUCCCGUCUUCUGCUCCA
rnacentral:tRNA from 12 species